rnacentral:rRNA from 1 species
GACGAACGCUGGCGGCGUGCUUAACACAUGCAAGUCGAACGGGAUCCAAAGGCUUUUUGUUUUUGGUGAGAGUGGCGAACGGGUGAGUAACACGUGAGUAACCUGCCCCCUUCUUUUGGAUAACCGCAUGAAAGUGUGGCUAAUACAGGAUAUUCCAGGCUGGUCGCAUGAUUGGUUUGGGAAAUGGUUUGGUCUGGUGGGGGAUGGGCUCGCGGCCUAUCAGCUUGUUGGUGGGGUGAUGGCCUACCAAGGCGGUGACGGGUAGCCGGCCUGAGAGGGUGGGCGGUCACACUGGGACUGAGAUACGGCCCAGACUCCUACGGGAGGCAGCAGUGGGGGAUUUUGCACAAUGGGCGCAAGCCUGAUGCAGCGACGUCGCGUGAGGGAUGAAGGCCUUCGGGUUGUAAACCUCUUUCGCUGGGUUGAAAGGCCAUGCUUUGGGUGUGGUUGAUUUGAACUGGUAAAGAAGUACCGGCUAACUACGUG